CUCCACCGAGAAUGAGAGGCAGCGCUGAGAAGAGCACCGCUCCUUCCUCCAGCCUCACCUCUAGUUUGGCUGGGGGGCACCUUGGACCCUCCACCUCAUGAUUUGGCAAGGUCUAGGUGGAGUUAUAAAGACGUGACUGAUCAUGCAUUGCAUCUCCUAACCACAGAGCCUGCAGCUUCCCAACCAGGACAGCGUGAAGGGAAUGGGAAGUCUCCGCCACCGCACCGCGCAGAGCACACCACUGUGGUAGUGCACCAAGAAGGUACUGGAUGAUUUCUUCCUGGAAAAAUAAAUGGAACAUAAACUGAUGGAGUGUGGUAUCACUGAUUUAAGGAGAAGCUGGAGCAGAUGAUGUUGAAGCGAGGUCUGAGCACCCCUUUCCCAGUGGAGGUACCGGGAUAGGAGACUCACAAUCAUCUCCCAUCAUCACUUCCACUCCUGAGAGAUAAGGGCACACCUGUAUCAUGGUCACGAGCACGAAUGAAGCUUGUGUAGACGUACCUGAGCUUACUUCAGAAAUGCAGGCUUGACCUUCGAGAGUUGCUGGUAAUUUGUUCAGUGUUCAUACAGUAUGUAGCUGUAUGAACUGUCCAUUACUACUCCUCCGAGGUGCUGCUGCGAUACAGAUUUCAGCCACCUUUCCUUUUGUCUGGGCACCUUUAUCAGUGCAGCUGAAGGGAAUACUGUGUGGGCUCUGAAUUCCUCUCCAAAGACCAUGUAAAUACUUAGACAGUUCAUGCUGGUCCCUGAGCUACUGCUGCUAGUGUUAAACUAACUAGUUAAAGCCGGUUUGCAUACAUUUGCAGCUACAGCAGAAGUCGAGUGAUAAAUAUUCCCAAAUGUAGCUAUGCAAAUAGUGGCAAAUUCUGAAUAAAUGAAUGAAAUGCAUUAUAGUAGUCACAAAUUCUUCUCUUUUUCCUUUAAGAAAAAACGAAAGACAAAUUUGGCUUUAUGGCCCAGGCCAGGUUCUCUUUUAUAACCUUUUGAAUUUUGUACAUCCUUACAAAAAGGGCUACAUCCUACAAAAGGACUAUAAACCAAUGGUAAACAUUCAAGGAUUAUUUUAGCACGGACUGUGGUAAAUCACCGAUAUCUUUCUAUCCUACCCUCUGGUUCAGGGGCACAGAGUGGUGGUUAUAUACCGUGCCUGUACAUUAGUCAUCACUAGUUGACAAAUAGCCACAUAACUAAAGGAUGUUGUAUAAAAAACCUAACAAACAAAAAACCCCAAACAAACAAAUAAAAAAACCCACAUGUCCUUCAUCAUGUUUUAAAAGAUGAUAAAAACUGGAGUUGCAUGUGGUAAUAAUCGCAUCCAUAUGUAAAUCCCAAAAGGUGAGAGACAGUAUUCUUGGAAGCAUUGCCUUGCAAAAAGACAGAGCGUAGAGACCAAUCUUGUUCAAAGGAGAUAGUCUCCCCUCGCUAGCGGCCUUACUUGUACCCCAAAUCAUUCAUCUUUGACUUAAAAUCCAAUAAAAUUGGCUUCCGCCCAGCCCAAUGGGGCUGGCUACAGUUCUCAAGGUCAGCUCUGGGAUGGUUUGUCAGGCUGAUACCUCCGUUCCCCUUUACUGUCCACCUCCACGAGUGGUUAUGAAAGUAACAUUUUAUGGUUGCUGAAAAGGUGCCAGGAGAGAGCUGGGAAGAAGAUGGGCAGUUCUGAGGACUGGAGCUCGGCCGCAUGAAUCUGCUUCAGCUGCCAUGCCAUCUCCAGAAGAUAGAUGAAAACAAGUAUUUAUCCAAAGAAAGGGGAUAAAAGGACAUCCAGGGGUUUAAUAUCCAUAGCGACUGCAUAUAAUUUACUAAACUCCCCAAAGAGGCAAUAUUCUCUUUCCCUUCCAGGGCAGACUGGCCUCUCCUGAGCAAACCAAGCAUUUAACUGUGGGUGACCGAUAACUGGUGUCACAAAUUAAAAGCCGUGUGGCUAAGUCAAGUGCAAGCCUUUCAAAGUGUGAGUAUCUUCUUAAAAAUGAGGCAUAGCAAAUGAACAAAGAGCUCACAGAAAUGCUGAAUUUGUUUCCUUGGCAUUUCAGUAACUGUUUGACCUGACCAUUUCAAUUUAUCCCUUAAAAGAAAUGGAGAUACUCAGGAAGGCAGAAACUGUAUUUUUAAGGCAAAAUACUUUUCUAAAAUACUUUCACAUAGUGCUUAGUUAUAGCUAUCCAAAAGGAUAUUAUGCUGAGCUGUUACAUUUUGACUUGCAGCCUUUUCAUAUUGCUGAAAUAUCAAUACUGUACUGCGUGUAAUGUAUAUGGUUAACUCUCAGUUUCCUAAUGUAAUAUGGGGUAGGAAACCUUUGUAAUGCAAUAACAUAACCAUAACCAGUGCAACCCCCCCCCCCCCCCCCCCCGCAAAUCCCUUGUAACUCAGGCUGGAUAAUGUAGACUGAGGAAUAGCCAAAAAGCAAAUGCAAAAUGAAUGGCAGGUCCUGGUAUAUGUGUGUUUUCUAAAACAUACUGAUUUACUGUUGAAGUUAGAAAACAGGAAAGACAGUGAGACUAAGAGAAUGUGAAAGUUGCAAAAACGUUUGAUGCUGUAAAUUAUAUUUUGUUGAAUAUUUGCAAGAAAAAUAGGCGUUUCCAGUGAUAAUCGGAUGUGUUCUCUAAUAAUGAUUGUCCUUACUAUGUAUCUUGAUGAUUACUUGCUGUUUUUUUUCUAUUUGAAUGUAAGAACUAUUCUAAUUACAGCUAGAAAAAAACAGCAUAAAGGACAGGCUUGUAACCACCAUGGAGAAUAUAAACAAUCAAUCAGAAGCAUCUGCAUUAUACAAACAUGUUGCUUACAGACACUGAAAAGGUGUUAAUGCAACACAUCCUAAAUAUUAUUAAGAAAUGGUUGAGUGUAUUUGUACAUAGUUUUCUAGCUUUCAUUCAUUCCCAUUUCUAACAAUUCAUGUAGCAUGUGAUAGGCCUUUGGCAUAUGUCUAUAACCACCGAGAUUUGUUACACUGUUCAGAGUACAACUGGAAUCCCCCAAAUCCCGUUGGCUGAAGUUAAAUAUCACCGUGAAUCACAGGUAUUGUGUUACCAGAUAACACAACAAAAAAAUUAAUCAGAGUGAAACACUUCACUUGAUGCUGUUAAAGCUAAUAGGUCUGAAAUGAAAGAUAAUUGCAUAUUAAAAUAGAGUGGGUAGCUCUGUUUUGAUGUAGAGAUAUAAAGAUGUCAGGCAAGCUAGUCUGUAGCGGGAGGGAAUGGGUGCCCUGAAGUGAUUGAGGAGCAGAGCCCAGGAGAGCAUUCCUCGCAUUCCUGCGGCACUCGCCCUAUACAUAUGCCCCACAAAAAAAGGGAAUUUUAGCACUCCAGGUUGGUAAACUGAGCUUCAGAAAAGCUGGCACUUUCCUAUAGCUGCAGGCUUGAUUAAUUUGAAGAAAUGAUACUCUCCAGAUGAUGAAUGCGAGGCAUAUUUAAAACUUAUUUUUUAGGGCAAAGGACAUUACAUUUUCAAUCUGUUAGUUAAAAAAAAAAAAAAAAAGAUAAUCCCCCAUAAGGACUACUAAUAAGCACUGACAAGCAAGAUGUAGCCAGGAUGUGGAGCCCUCCCUAGCCUUUUCCCGUGGUCUGCCCAGAAUUAUCGGUAUUAGCUGCAAAAAUAUUUUGCUGACACAUAUGGGUGGGAUUAGCCCAAAGAGUUGUCUUUGUUAAUGAGCCAUAUCUCGAAAUUCUGUAGGUUUAGUAGAUUGCUGUCUGAAGACACAGCCUGUUUGAGAGCCAUGUAUGUCUAAAAGCAUAAGAUUUUGUCUCCUGAGACCAGCUGUGUGUGUUUUGUGAGGAAAAAAUAGUUAUCCUUGUGACUUUUCACAAAUAAAAAAUACAAAUAAAAAUUA